GGAUGAUGGAACGGCCGUGUUCUUUUUGGGAGCAUGAGGUGCUACUGGUCUAGAGCUUACGGUUGGGAGUGAGAUUUUGAGGGGCCAGGACGAUCCCUUGUGUGGGGGAACAUUGGACUAUCUCCAAGGUCUCAAGGGAGGAAAGGAUGCUAUAUUGCUACCAGUGCCAAAACACAAGGCUGAAUGAAAUCACUAGAGAACUUCUAGGAAAGCCAUUGGAAUCACUUCACCGUUAGUGGAACCAUUGAGGCAGUGGAUGAAGACAAUGCAGAUGAUGCCAGUGAAGGUGACGAUGUAACUCUCAGAAUCAUUGAACUGCCAGUUCGGAAGUGGACUCAAGAUUAUAAGGAGUUUUAAAGAGAGGCAGAGAUCAAAUGAUGCAGCGAGUAUUCGGUGCUAACGAGUCCUUUGAUUUUGUCAAAGAUGCUUCUGAUCAGGGCGAGGAACUUCACGACUGUUCUUUCUGUUGUUAGGCCGAUCGUGUGCGAAUCGCGUUUCAUUUCUCUAAACUUAGCCAUGUAUUUUUUAUGCUUAGCUAUGAUUUCUAUAUAUGUAACCUACAUUAAAU